AGAGUUUGAUCCUGGCUCAGGACGAACGCUGGCGGCGGGCUUAACACAUGCAAGUCGAACGAGGUCCAUUCUGUAGCAAUACAGAGGAAGACCUAGUGGCGAACGGGUGAGGAACACGUGAGGAACCUGCCCCGAACUUUGGGAUAACAGUUGGAAACGACUGCUAAUACCGAAUGCCGUUACGAAAUGGCAUCACUUUGUAACGAAAGAAUUUCGGUUCGGGAGGGCCUCGCGGCCUAUCAGCUAGUUGGUGGGGUAAUGGCCUACCGAGGCAUCGACGGGUAGCUGGUCUGAGAGGAUGAUCAGCCACACUGGGACUGAGACACGGCCCAGACUCCUACGGGAGGCAGCAGUGGGGAAUCUUGUGCAAUGGGCGAAAGCCUGACACAGCCACGCCGCGUGCGGGAAGAAGGCCUUCGGGUUGUAAACCGCUUUCAGCAGGAACGAAAAUGACGGUACCUGCAGAAGAAGAUGCGGCCAACUACGUGCCAGCAGCCGCGGUGAUACGUAGGCAUCAAGCGUUGUCCGGAUUUAUUGGGCGUAAAGAGCUCGUAGGCGGUUCAGCAAGUCGGGUGUGAAAACUCUGGGCUUAACCCAGAGCCUGCACUCGAAACUGCUGUGACUAGAGUUCGGUAGGGGAGCAGGGAAUUCCUAGUGUAGCGGUGAAAUGCGCAGAUAUUAGGAGGAACACCAAUGGCGAAGGCACUGCUCUGGGCCGAUACUGACGCUGAGGAGCGAGAGCGUGGGUAGCAAACAGGAUUAGA
rnacentral:rRNA from 1 species